rnacentral:snRNA from 1 species
AUACUUAGCAGCUAGGGAAAGCACCAUGAUCCAGAAGGUGGUUUCCCCAGGGUGACGCGUCUCCAUUGCUGACCCCUGUGAUUCCCCAAAAUGGAGGGCAUUCAACUGCAUAAUGCAUGGUAGUGGGGGAAUAUGUUUGUACUUUCAUCUG